rnacentral:rRNA from 1 species
UGAGGAAUAUUGGGCAAUGCCCGCAAGGGUGACCCAGCAACGCCGCGUGGAGGAUGAAUGUCGUAAGAUUGUAAACUCCUGUUAGAGGGGAAGAAUAGUACCGGUUGGACCGGUAUAUGACUGUACCCUCAGAGAAAGCCCCGGCUAACUACGUGCCAGCAGCCGCGGUAAUACGUAGGGGGCAAGCGUUGUCCGGAUUUACGGGGUGUAAAGGGCGCGCAGGCGGGAUAAAAAGUCAGUGGUGAAAUCCUACAGCUUAACUGUAGAACUGCCUUUGAUACUUUUAUGCUUGAGUUCGGGAGAGAGAGACGGAAUUCCAGGUGUAGUGGUGAAAUAUGUAGAUAUCUGGAAGAACACCAGUUGCGAAGGCGGUCUCUUGGUCCGACACUGACGCUGAGGCGCGAAAGCGUGGGGAGCAAACA